GGCUCUGUGAUUACUUUGCUUAAUUGGCAGUAUACGCUAUUCUGAGAAACAGAGUAUGAAGAUAAAUAAUUUUUUACUUAAUGAGAGCC
rnacentral:snoRNA from 1 species